rnacentral:rRNA from 1 species
UACAGAGGUCUCAAGCGUUGUUCGGAUUCAUUGGGCGUAAAGGGUGCGUAGGUGGCGCCAUAAGUCAGGUGUGAAAUUUCGGAGCUUAACUCCGAAACUGCAUUUGAUACUGCGGUGCUUGAGGACUGGAGAGGAGACUGGAAUUCAUGGUGUAGCAGUGAAAUGCGUAGAGAUCAUGAGGAAGACCAGUGGCGAAGGCGGGUCUCUGGACAGUUCCUGACACUGAGGCACGAAGGCCAGGGGAGCAAACGGG